GAGUUUGAUCGUGGCUCAGGAUGAACGCUGGCGGCGUGCCUAACACAUGCAAGUCGAACGAAGCAAUCGGGAUGAAGUUUUCGGAUGGAUUCCUGGUUGACUGAGUGGCGGACGGGUGAGUAACGCGUGGAUAACCUGCCUCACACUGGGGGAUAACAGUUAGAAAUGGCUGCUAAUACCGCAUAAGCGCACAGUACCGCAUGGUACGGUGUGAAAAACCCAGGUGGUGUGAGAUGGAUCCGCGUCUGAUUAGCCAGUUGGCGGGUAACGGCCCACCAAAGCGACGAUCAGUAGCCGACCUGAGAGGGUGACCGGCCACGAUUGGGACCUGGAGACACGGCCCAAACUCC
rnacentral:rRNA from 1 species